AUGAAUCAUAAAUAGGGCAACUCUCUUUAGAGGCGUCCGACCUAUAUUCAUCCUUCACCCUGUGCACACUAUAUUUUCACACCUUUUUUAACACCAAAUACUCAUGAAUGUUACAAAGUCUCGUUAACGCGAGCAUAAAAGUUAAUA
rnacentral:misc_RNA from 1 species